CUUCUUUUACCUGGGAAGAAACCUCAAUUUUCUAAUUGAGUUGACGGUACCAGAGGAAUAAGCACCGGCUAACUCCGUGCCAGCAGCCGCGGUAAUACGGAGGGUGCAAGCGUUAUCCGGAUUUACUGGGUUUAAAGGGUGUGUAGGCGGGUCUUUAAGUCAGUGGUGAAAUCUCCGAGCUCAACUUGGAAACUGCCAUUGAUACUAUUGAUCUUGAAUUUUGUUGAGGUAGGCGGAAUAAGUCAUGUAGCGGUGAAAUGCAUAGAUAUGACUUAGAACACCAAUUGCGAAGGCAGCUUACUAAACAAAUAUUGACGCUGAGGCACGAAAGCGUGGGGAUCAAACAGGAUUAGAUACCCUGGUAGUCCACGCCCUAAACGAUGAUUACUCGACAUACGCGAUACACAGUGUGUGUCUGA
rnacentral:rRNA from 1 species